rnacentral:rRNA from 1 species
GACGAACGCUGGCGGCGUGCUUAACACAUGCAAGUCGAACGGACAGGCCCUGCUUUUGUGGGGUGCUUGAGUGGCGCACGGGUGAGUAACACGUGAGUAACCUGCCCUUGACUUUGGGAUAACUUCAGGAAACUGGGGCUAUUACCGCAUAGGAUCUCCUGCUCCAUGGUGUGCGUUGGUAAGUUUCGGCGGUUGGGGAUGGACUCGCAGCUUAUCAGCUUGUUGGUGUGGUAGGUGCUUACAAAGGCUUUGACGGGUAGCCGGCCUGAGAGGGUUACCGGCGACAUGGGGACUGAGAUAGGGCCCAGACUCCUACGGGAGGCAGCGGGGGGGAAUAUGGCACAAUGGGCGGAAGCCUGAUGCAGCAACGCCGCGUGCGGGAUGACGGCCUACGAGUUGUAAACCGCUGUCGCCUGUGACGAAGCGAGAGUGACGGUAAUGGGUAAAGAAGCACCGGCUAACUACGUG